AACGAACGCUGGCGGCGUGGAUAAGACAUGCAAGUCGAACGGGAUUAUUUUUGUAGCAAUACAGAAAUAAUUUAGUGGCGAACGGGUGCGUAACACGUGGGCAAUCUGCCGAAAAGUGGGGGAUAGCUCGCCGAAAGGCGAAUUAAUACCGCAUGUGGUGAGGGACGACAUCUUCCUGAAAUCCAAAGCCGGGGUCAAACCUGGCGCUUUUUGAGGAGCCCGCGGCCUAUCAGCUAGUUGGGAGG
rnacentral:rRNA from 1 species